rnacentral:tRNA from 1 species
GCCCCGGUGGCGGAAUUGGUAGACGCACCAGACUUAAAAUCUGGGAUUCCGAUAGGAGUGUGCGGGUUCAAGUCCCGCCCGGGGUA